rnacentral:rRNA from 1 species
UACAGAGGGUGCAAGCGUUGUUCGGAAUUACUGGGCGUAAAGCGCGUGUAGGCGGCAGCGUAAGUCGGAUGUGAAAUCCCUUGGCUUAACCAAGGAAGUGCAUCCGAUACUGCGUUGCUUGAGUGCCGGAGGGGAUGGCGGAAUUCCCGGUGUAGAGGUGAAAUUCGUAGAUAUCGGGAGGAACACCUGUGGCGAAGGCGGCCAUCUGGACGGUAACUGACGCUGAGACGCGAAAGCGUGGGGAGCAAACAGG